CUCCUGCUCCUUCUUGUGUCUCAUGACAGAACCUCAGGGCUUCAGUCAUGACAGAUGUCUCUUCUGCUCAUACAAACGCUAAGUGAAGUUUCCUGCCUUGAAGAGAUUGUGAUCUAAUAGAAGGCAAUGCAGCAACGGCAGCAGAGAAAGAAGAAAAGGGAAAGAAGCACACUGAGAGCAUGAGAAAAGCACAUGGUGGCUUAGUUGGAUGAUUAGAUGCUUUUAAAAGGCCAUAACCUACAGAGAGUUCUGAGCUUGGGGAAAUGCUGCUUUACCUGUUCUCAGCUUCUAAGAUCUUGUGCCACAGUUGCAAGACCAAUAAGAAAGGAAACAAAACUCAGCACUUGCACAUUGCUUCUCUCUUUUGCCCAAUUCCUAAAGUCCCAAAGUGUCUUUCAAACUGCACAGAGGAGACUUGUAGCCAUGAUUCUAUGGAGACAAAGCUACACCAGAGAGGAGAAAACUUGCAGCACAUCCAGGAGCUCUGCCCUGCUGGCCUCUCUACAGGCUCAAAUGCUCAUGCAGGGAAGGAUGGCUCCCCAGGAGGAGGAGGAGAAUGGCUAAAGCCAUACAAAGGAGAGGGAGGUUUAGAGCUCCUGAAUGCAUCCUGGUCUCUGCUUCUCAUGCUAAGAAGCAAUUGAAAUAUUAAAGGUAAUAAAACAUGAU
rnacentral:lncRNA from 1 species